UACGGGGGGAGCAAGCGUUGUUCGGAUUUACUGGGCGUAAAGGACGCGUAGGCGGUCGUGACAAGUCACUUGUGAAAUCUCCGGGCUUAACUCGGAACGGUCAAGUGAUACUGUCGGACUAGAGUACAGAAGGGGCAACUGGAAUUCUCGGUGUAGCGGUGAAAUGCGCAGAUAUCAGGAGGAACACCGGUGGCGAAGGCGGGUCUCUGGGCCGAUACUGACGCUGAGGAGCGAAAGCGUGGGGAGCGAACAGG
rnacentral:rRNA from 1 species